GAAUGGCUCUGUAAGUGCUUAUUGCUGCUGUUCUCGGUGAGCUAGGAAGGUUGAGAAAAGAAGCUAUCAGAGUGGGCGGGGCCUGAGUAACUGCCAAUUUCAAUUUUUCGAUCAGACUGGAGCUACCUUGGGAUGUAAUUUUUCGGUUCUGCGCUCCUAGAGGGUUUCAAUGCUUUUCGGUUUUCUUAUCACGUGAGGCGUCGUGAGCCCCUUCUUCGAGAUGAAAACUAGACUGUCCUGGAAAAGCGCACCUAGCGUCCGCACACAAUUCCUAAGUGUCGACACAUGUUUUAGCCGAACUCCUUCCCGUAGGAACUCAAGGGUCUCCGGGUUAUGAGCCUCAACUCUACCUACCCUGCUCUGCCCCAAUCGGGCCAGCUGCUACCACGCCUCAGAGUGUAACCAAAACAAAAGCUCUGAGGUCGGCGCCCCACGGAGGCAUCUCCCAAGCACAGGCGCACCCCCCAACCUGGGCUCUGCCAAACAAAGACCAAACUCGACCCCGGGACCCGGCCUGCAGAAUGAUCGGGGAGCAACGCGUGUCUGGGUCAUUCUCAGAUUCUACCACGGCUACUGGUCACUUCCAAAGAAGAGUUCAAGCAGACUGUGAUGCGGUUUCAGAUGAGAUGCUUCCUGAACGUUCUCGGACGAGAAGGAGAGGCACGGGAAAUAAAAAGGCUGCACUAAUUUCCUGUGGGCACUCGGAACUCAAAGUAAACGUCCCAGAAAGGUCACCGCAGUCCGAAGCCCACUGCCCCCAGUCAGGCUAAGGAGAGCGCGGGACAGGGGCGCCGGGCACCGCGAAGGCUCCUGGGGACUGAAGUCCCUCAUUCAGCCUUCACAGUAAUGUUGCGGGACUGGACCAGACAGCGGGACUACAACUCCCAGUAGGAAGUGCGCCUCCGUGUUGCUUACAGCCCCUCAUCAAAAGAACUGGUCCAAAACUGCACCUCUAAACCCAGGCUUUCUCUUUACACCAAGCAACUGUUUAAUAUGACAUACUGAAGUAAACUUUGGAAUUUAGGGGUAGGGAUCAUCGUACCUUCUCCCGGAGCCAGAGCCCCGUCGACUCGCGCCACCGCCAUACUUGCCGCUUGCUAAUGACACCAGGCAACCGUCUUCUGCCGUUCUGUAGAGCAUGUAGUCAGCAGUGGGGCGCUGCAAACUACAACUCCCAGGAUGCACAGCACUCACUCGACCCAAUUGGCUCCCUGAUGGGACUUGCUGGCUACAAUGUGGGAGGUAAAGCUUAGAAGACCCGGGUUGACACCUAAAGUUGAUCUGGCCUUUCUCCAGCAUUUCCUCUGCCUUGGCUCCACGGACUGUGCAGUGAACAGCAAUCUUCUCAUUUCUCCGGAUGCCAAAGGACCUGACAGUGUAUCUAGCUUUGGAAAACACCAGGGUCUGGCCUGUGAGCUGCUCCAACACCAUGGCUGCCCGGGUCAGUCUGCCUCCGCUCUCCCCGACACAGAUAUUGAGGCAGAGCUGCGGAUGCGAAGUUCCGGCAUGAGGUUUUCAUUUUCCCCAUGCUCUUGCGCCAUGGUGGAGAGCAGGAAGAGUCAUAUUUUCACUUUAUGAAUAUGAUGAGUUUUCCCUUGGGGCUGGAGAGGUGGCUUAGAGGUUAAGAGCACCAGCUUUUAGUGCAGGGAUCUUGAGUUCAAGUCCCAACACCCACAGGGCAGCCAUCAAACCAUCUAUAACUAUUGUCCUAUAGGAUGCCGUGUGUGCCCUUAAACACCAAUAUACAUAAACGAAUAAACCUAAACAAACAAAAAAUGUUUCCCUGCAUGUAUGUCUGUGUGCCGUGUAAAUGCAGUGCCUACAGAGGCCAGAAGAGGGAACUGGAGUCCCUGGAAGU
rnacentral:lncRNA from 1 species